UACGGAGGAUGCAAGCGUUAUCCGGAUUCAUUGGGUUUAAAGGGUGCGCAGGCGGGAGAUUAAGUCAGUGGUGAAAUCCUGCAGCUUAACUGCAGAACUGCCGUUGAUACUGAUAGUCUUGAGUUUGGUUAAGGUAGGCGGAAUGUGUAAUGUAGCGGUGAAAUGCUUAGAUAUUACACAGAACACCAAUUGCGUAGGCAGCUUACUGAGCCGACACUGACGCUGAGGCACGAAAGCGUGGGGAUCAAACA
rnacentral:rRNA from 1 species